rnacentral:rRNA from 1 species
ACAGUUUGAUCCUGGYUCRGGAUGAACGCUAGCCGGGAGGCUUAACCAUGCMAGUCCAGGGGUAUAGUAGCAAUACUAGAGACCGGCGCACGGGUGAGUAACGCGUAUGCMACCUGCCCUUUACMGGAGGAUAGSCCGCUGAAAGGCGGAUUAAUMCUCCAUAAUAUGGUACAGCCGCMUGGUUGAACUAUAAAAGCUGCGGCGGUAAAGGAUGGGCMUGCGUGACAUUAGCUAGUUGGCGGGGUAACGGCCCMCCAAGGCUACGAUGUCUAGGGGUUCUGAGAGGAAGGUCCCCCACMCUGGUACUGAGACACGGACCAGACUCCUACGGGAGGCAGCASUGAGGAAUAUUGGUCAAUGGGCGCGAGCCUGAACCAGCCMUCCCCGCSUGCAGGAAGACSACCCUAUGGGUUGUAAACUGCUUUUGUGCAGGAAGAACSUACASAUCGGGAUCUGUAGUGACGGUACUGCAUGAAUAAGCACCGGCUAACUCCGUGCCAGCAGCCGCGGUAAUACGGAGGGUGCAAGCGUUAUCCSGAUU